rnacentral:lncRNA from 1 species
GGAAGAAACAUCUUUAAGAACAUUAGCAUGGAUAAACUCAGACUAUGGAUUCCCCCAAGCAAUCUAUCAAAGUUACAGAUGGGAAGGUUUUUCCUUGCCAUAGAGAAGUUCACUGACCUUUAUUUUAGAUGUGAGAAAAGAAGAAGUUGGCAAUACCAAUUAUUUGUCAUUUGCAAAUGAUCCAUUAGAGACUAUUAUAUCAUGUUACAUCUGCACUAGCACACUGUCACAAUAAAUGUCAGGGGAUAAUGGAUGCA